rnacentral:rRNA from 1 species
UUGAACGCUGGCGGAAUGCUUUACACAUGCAAGUCGAACGGCAGCACGGGGGCAACCCUGGUGGCGAGUGGCGAACGGGUGAGUAAUACAUUGGAACGUGCCCAAUCGUGGGGGAUAACGCAGCGAAAGUUGUGCUAAUACCGCAUACGAUCUACGGAUGAAAGCGGGGGAUCGCAAGACCUCGCGCGAGUGGAGCGGCCGAUGGCAGAUUAGGUAGUUGGUGGGGUAAAGGCUCACCAAGCCAACGAUCUGUAGCUGGUCUAAGAGGACGACCAGCCACACUGGGACUGAGACACGGCCCAGACUCCUACGGGAGGCAGCAGUGGGGAAUUUUGGACAAUGGGCGAAAGCCUGAUCCAGCCAUUCCGCGUGCAGGAUGAAGGCCUUCGGGUUGUAAACUUCUUUUGUACGGAACGAAAAGGCUCUGGUUAAUACCUGGGGCUCAUGACGGUACCGUAAGAAUAAGCACCGGCUAACUACGU